rnacentral:rRNA from 1 species
AUGAACGCUGGCGGCGUGCCUAAUACAUGCAAGUCGAGCGAACGGACGAGAAGCUUGCUUUUCUGAUGUUAGCGGCGGACGGGUGGGUAACACGUGGAUAACCUACCUAUAAGACUGGGAUAACUUCGGGAAACCGGAGCUAAUACCGGAUAAUAUUUUGAACCGCAUGGUUCAAAAGUGAAAGACGGUCUUGCUGUCACUUAUAGAUGGAUCCGCGCUGCAUUAGCUAGUUGGUAAGGUAACGGCUUACCAAGGCAACGAUGCAUAGCCGACCUGAGAGGGUGAUCGGCCACACUGGAACUGAGACACGGUCCAGACUCCUACGGGAGGCAGCAGUAGGGAAUCUUCCGCAAUGGGCGAAAGCCUGACGGAGCAACGCCGCGUGAGUGAUGAAGGUCUUCGGAUCGUAAAACUCUGUUAUUAGGGAAGAACAUAUGUGUAAGUAACUGUGCACAUCUUGACGGUACCUAAUCAGAAAGCCACGGCUAACUACGUG